GAGAGAGAGAUCCACUUAUUUCUGAGAAGAUAGACAACCUUUGCCAGAAAGAAAGUGGUUCAACCCGUCUGCUUUCCUUGUCGUGCGUUUGGUGAAUGAAAAAAAAGGACGUUUGAGAAGGCAGUUUGUUGCUAUGGUGGGGUAGAGAGAGAUACAUGGUUUUCUUUUAGUAGAAGCUUCUGUUGCAUCUUACUGUCGCUGCUGCUUCUCUGGCUGCUGCACUUGCACAGAGCAGAUCUCCAUUACCAGUUGUGGUUUUUGGGACUCAAAAAGUUAAAACUGCACCACUGAGAAGCUGAAGAGGAUGUAGAAUUGCAUUUGUAGCAAAUAUUGCCCUUGAUAUUUCACACAAGCACAACCUGCAACACAUCAGGAAGGUUUGCUGAGACACGACUUGUGGGGUUAUUUUUCCAGGGAAGACAGUGAGGAGUUCAACGUCAACAGCAAAAGGCAGAGCCCAGGAUGCCUCUCUACUUGGAGGGUGCUGACUGAAAACUUAGCUUUGCCCUCCCAAUAAACCAGCUCAUUUUGGAGCACGGCGCUUCCUUCGGUUUGCCUUUGUCCAAAGAGAGGAUUUUUUCAAUUAGGGUCCCUUUAGAUGGAAUUUUACAUGGCAGAAACCUUGUCACCGGAAGGAUUAAUGUCAGCAUUAGCAUUUCGACAAUAAAAUACAUAUAUUCGAAGCUAAUUGGUGAAUGCCCACGGACAGUCUCAAACCUGGAUUCCUCGGCUCAGCAUUCAGCGUUGGAAUUUUUAAUUACUUGCUGUAGGGAAACCAUUGCCAAUGCUUACAAGGAACUGCUUAUCCCUGCUUCUCUGGUUCCUGUUCGAUGGAGGUCUCCUAAUGUCACUUCAUCCACAACCACAACAGACUUUAGAAGGUGAGACGAGAGGAAAUGAUGCCACAAUGCCAGAGCGGAGGACAGCUGCUGUGCGGGUCAAGCGAGGCUGGGUCUGGAAUCAGUUCUUUGUGCUGGAAGAAUACAUGGGCUCCGAACCCCAGUACGUG